rnacentral:lncRNA from 1 species
GUACACAGGCACCACGUUGCAAUCUGCCGACCGGUGGUGCUGGUGCUCAGAAUGAAGCUCUUCAAUUGCAGGGCUCAAACUGGAACACGACCACAUGCUUCAAUCUUGUCAGGCUUUUGAGUUUUGACUGGUGGUGCUCAGUUGUUUGUUCAGAGAUCUGAAUCGAAGUCAGUAUCAUCAAGUUUGGAAAACUCAACUAUAUAAUUUGAUAUCAAUACUACUUAGUGGGUGUUUGGAUACUAGGUGCUAAACUUUAGUAGUGUCACAUCGGAUAUUCGGAUGCUAAUUAGAAGGACUAAACAUGAGCUAAUUACAAAACUAAUUGCAGAACCCCUGUGCUAAUUCGCGAGACAAAUCUAUUAAGCCUAAUUAAUCCAUCAUUAGCAAAUGGUUACUGUAGCACCACAUUGUCAAAUCAUGGACUAAUUAGGCUUAAUAGAUUCGUCUCGCGAAUUAGACUCCAUCUGUGUAAUUAGUUUUGUAAUUAGUCUAUAUUUAAUAAUCCUAAUUAGUAUCCAAACAUCCGAUGUGACAGGUGCUAAACUUUAGCACGGGUAUCAAACACCCCCUUAGUCAAAUUACAGGUACGUUAUGAAAAUUAUACAACUAGGUUCAUAUUUCAAAAUUAUUUUCGCAUGAUCUUGAUUUUAUAUCAAAUAUAAUUUGUAAUACAGGG